rnacentral:rRNA from 1 species
AGUGAACGCUGGCGGCGUGCUUAACACAUGCAAGUCGAACGAGAACGGAUUAUAGCUUGCUAUAAUUGUCAGCUAAGUGGCGCACGGGUGAGUAAUGUAUAGAUAACCUGCCCUCUAGAAAGGAAUAACAGUUGGAAACGACUGCUAAUGCCCUAUAUGCCUUUAAUACAUAAGUAUGCAAGGGAAACGCUUUAGUGCUAGAGGAUGGGUCUGUAUGGUAUCAGCUAGUUGGUGAGGUAAUGGCUCACCAAGGCUAUGACGCCUAACUGGUUUGAGAGGAUGAUCAGUCACACUGGAACUGAGACACGGUCCAGACUCCUACGGGAGGCAGCAGUGGGGAAUAUUGCACAAUGGACGAAAGUCUGAUGCAGCAACGCCGCGUGGAGGAUGACACAUUUCGGUGCGUAAACUCCUUUUAUAUAGGAAGAUAAUGACGGUACUAUAUGAAUAAGCACCGGCUAACUCCGUGCCAGCAGCCGCCGUAA